rnacentral:rRNA from 1 species
CAGUCGCCACGGUAAUACGGAGGGUGCAAGCGUUAAUCGGAAUUACUGGGCGUAAAGCGCACGCAGGCGGUUUGUUAAGUCAGAUGUGAAAUCCCCGAGCUUAACUUGGGAACUGCAUUUGAAACUGGCAAGCUAGAGUCUUGUAGAGGGGGGUAGAAUUCCAGGUGUAGCGGUGAAAUGCGUAGAGAUCUGGAGGAAUACCGGUGGCGAAGGCGGCCCCCUGGACAAAGACUGACGCUCAGGUGCGAAAGCGUGGGGAGCAAACAGGAUUAGAUACCCGAGUAGUCCCUGUCUCUUAUAC